AUUGAACGCUGGCGGCAUGCCUUACACAUGCAAGUCGAACGGUAACAGGUCUUCGGAUGCUGACGAGUGGCGAACGGGUGAGUAAUACAUCGGAACGUGCCCGAGAGUGGGGGGUAACGAAGCGAAAGCUUUGCUAAUACCGCAUACGAUCUCAGGAUGAAAGCAGGGGACCGCAAGGCCUUGCGCUAACGGAGCGGCCGAUGUCAGAUUAGGGAGUUGGUGGGAUAAAAGCUUACCAAGCCGACGAUCUGUAGCUGGUCUGAGAGGACGACCAGCCACACUGGGACUGAGACACGGCCCAGACUCCUACGGGAGGCAGCAGUGGGGAAUUUUGGACAAUGGGCGCAAGCCUGAUCCAGCCAUGCCGCGUGCAGGAUGAAGGCCUUCGGGUUGUAAACUGCUUUUGUACGGAACGAAAAGACUCCUUCUAAUAAAGGGGGUCCAUGACGGUACCGUAAGGAUAAGCACCGGCUAACUACGUGCCAGCAGCCGCCGUAAUAC
rnacentral:rRNA from 1 species